UCCCAUUCUUCUCCCUUAAUCAGUUGUUCUUGGUUUCUGACUGAUCUCAUGGCCAGACCAAGCGACUACCAGAGUUGGAGAUUUCGGCAGUGUGGCUGCAAAAUUUUUGUAUAAGAAAGGUUAACUUCCUUAGCUCCUGGAUGUAUCGAAUCUUUCUUGAAUGUUAAUAAUGGGAGUUAUGCUCUCCUCAUUCUUUUUCCUCUGGUCAUUUCUUAUUGUCAUAUUUUCCUCUGGUCAUUUCUUAUUGCAAAUCUUAACGACGGGCUUAUGAUUUUUCUUUUUCAAAUUGACUCAGGCUGCCAUUACUGUGAGUGGCUUGUGCUUCUUGAUAAAUCGCUAGCUGAACUGGCUGCCAAAAAAUCUCGACUUCACACAUUUGUCAAGGACCAAGGUUGAAAGCUCGAGAAUAUUGUCAUGGAUUUUGCUACGGUGUGUGCUCGUGCGCGUCUCCCUUUGGAGGGAAACCUUCCUGACGCGAAGGAUAAGUCCUCCUCAACGAUAAUUCUUGACUAAAUUGGGAGUUGCACAUUCCUCUAGAACCAUCCUUCUGGCCAGAGAAAUUCUUCCCAGUCGGAGGAGUAGGUGUUUUUGUCAUAACCUUUUGAUUGAAUUGGGAUUUACCUCCUCCCUUUGGUUCCUUCCCUUAUGGCGGAGAGGAAGUACCUCUCAUAUUCAUUAAUCCCCUAUCAUUUAGACAACUUAGCGUUUUCUGGUGAAUCUUUCCUUUCCUCCCGUCCCUCUUAGUUUUUUGUUGCUGACAUAACCAUUUGAAGAUAAGCAGACAUCAUACUACCAUCUUUAAUUUUGGGGAUGAUAGGGAGGGUCGGCUGUGCUGGUUGAACAUUAAGUCGGUGCAAUUGAUUUGCCCCCCAAUGACCCAUAAUUCCUAUUCCAUUUUUGUUAAAUAUAUUUUCUCUUUUGCAUAUCCUUUUUCUAUAAAAACUCUACCCUUACUUUCAUUUUCUUUCAUUCCUCUCAAUUUUUUCCUUAUGCUUCCCUCCCUUUUGGAAACUUAUUUAUUUUGAGAUUAUAGUUCAUUGACGCUCGCCACUUCCGUUGCUUCCGACAAUGUCCAACUUUUCAAUAUGGAUGUUGCUGGGGUCAUCAUCCACAUCAGUGUGUUCGUUUUAUUAUGCUACAUGUGGCUCCUUUCCAUAAGGUUUGAAGACGCAAUGAGGAGAUCCGACGAAUCAUCUACCCUCGUCAUCAUGACAAGGAAAAGGUUACAGUAGCGUCAGGUCGCGUCCUGGCUACCUUUGAUGUUUUUAUUUUUGCCUUGUAAUUUCAUGUGUUUUUAAUGCUUUUCUCUAAGUUAUGGAUUGCACCAUACUUCUUCCUUUGAUCGUUUAAUAUAUUUUCAAGCUCAAAAAGGUUAAAUAAACCCUUUCUUUCUUGUUGCUGAUGGCAUGGAAGCCCCUUGCUUAUCGUCGUUGAUAUUUUUUGAUGAUUAGAGGAAGGAUGGCAUGAUUCUCCUCCAUUUCCUUUUCGGCCAACGGCCGUGCUAGCAGGAGAUCUGAUCCUUCGCUCACAUUUCUCGUUACCGUCCUGAAUCAUCUCCGGCCAGCCUUCCUUUUUCCAUCGCACUUUCCUCCCGGUGAUGUCCGAAUAUUCGGAUACUCGAUCGUGAAGCCGACAAGUCGCAUCCCACCAUUUUUAAACGGUUCAAACCUCCCCUUUCUUCAAAAAGAAGGGUUAUAUCCCUACUUUUCCUUAUUUUAUUCUUGUUUUGACACUUGACAGACUGUGGUGACUUGGUG
rnacentral:lncRNA from 1 species